AUCAACAUCUUGCAGUCUUUAUCAUUGGUACUAUGUCCUACUGAAGCUAAGCAGGGCUGCACCCGGUCAGUACCUGGAUGGGAGACCACAUGGGAAAGCUAGGUUGCUGUCGAAA
rnacentral:rRNA from 1 species